UAGCCGCGGUAACACCAGCUCCCCGAGUGGUCGGGACGAUUAUUGGGCCUAAAGCGUCCGUAGCCGGCCUGGCAAGUCCCCUGUUAAAUCCCGGCGAUCUAAUCGCUGGACUGCAGGGGAUACUGUCGGGCUAGGGGGUGGGAGAGGCCGACGGUAUUCCCAGGGGAGGAGUAAAAUCCUCAGAUCCCGGGAGGACCACCAGUGGCGAAGGC
rnacentral:rRNA from 1 species